UGAGGAAUAUUGCGCAAUGGGCGAAAGCCUGACGCAGCGACGCCGCGUGGGGGAUGAAGGUCUUCGGAUUGUAAACCCCUUUCAGGAGGGAAGAUGGGGCGGGGCAACCCGUUCGGACGGUACCUCCAGAAGAAGCCACGGCUAACUUCGUGCCAGCAGCCGCGGUAAUACGAAGGUGGCAAGCGUUGUUCGGAUUUACUGGGCGUAAAGAGACCGUAGGCGGUGGGGUAAGUCCUGUGUGAAAGCUCCCGGCUCAACCGGGAAAGUACGCAGGAAACUGCCUUGCUAGAGGGCGGGAGAGGAGCGCGGAAUUCCCGGUGUAGCGGUGAAAUGCGUAGAGAUCGGGAGGAAGGCCGGUGGCGAAGGCGGCGCUCUGGAACGCACCUGACGCUGAGGGUCGAAAGCGUGGGGAGCAAACAGGAUUAGAUACCCCCGUAGUCC
rnacentral:rRNA from 1 species